ensembl:lncRNA
CUGGAAGUUCAGAUUGUAUAAGAGCUCAUUGUAAAGGACCCAGAGCGGGCCAAACCGGAGCCGGCGGGUUUAAAAAUAAACAUCCAGUCCAGAGUCCUCCAACAGCAAAUAUUUUCUGUAACCAAAAAAAGGAACUUAUCUAAAACCAACAGGUCAACUUUCCACUGAACACCACGAGGACGCAAACACGCCGGCCUCCGGUCUACCACUCUGACCUCAGCUUAUCAGGAAAACACAGCUGCCAAAGUAAUCACAUUACACUGAAUGACCUCCAAAGGUUUCCAGGCAGAUGUAUUUCAACAAGGUCGAAGCACCGAGUACACACGAAUACCAGGAACACAAACACGGCGAAGACGUCCCCCUCCGAGCUCCUACGCCUCAGCGAGAUCAUAGAACAGCAGCACCCGGCCGCAGGUUGUGGACCCUGCAGGUCAGCAAACCCACCUUGAACCACCAUGACCAGCGUCAACUCUCCAGCCUGCCUGCUCGCCCGAAACCACUUCUACCGAAGUCUACCGCCGAGUCCAGAACCCACCAAGCCCGCACACAAGCAGAGACUGCCCACGCUUUGGGUUACCGUGGAAACAGCUCCAGGACUGCCGGGUCUCGUGGGAACCAAAGGAUUAUGGGUCAGCAUCGUCCUCGGCUCUUCUUCCUCUUCCUCCAACUUCAAACCAAGCAACCCCGCCGACCAGAGAGCCAAGUAGAUGAAACAAGCACACCGUUCCUCUGCGUUCCUCUGAACGUCCACACUCAAUAACAGGGCGGCGAUCCCCUGGGGACAGGCUCCUCCUCCUCUGAGCUCACUGUAGCAGGCAACGAACCACAGAGCGACCCUCCAGAACCACGAGCAGGGCGUGGCUAAAAAAAAAAAUGGCUCCAGUUCCUCAAACCAAAGCGUGAACUCGUUCCUGAUUGGUUUAUGGUUUUGUUGCUGUUUUCAGGUGUCAGUGAAUAAAACGUGAAACUGGUGAAGUGAUGGUGAUGUUAGAGCAGGGCGCCCGGAUGAAGAGCCCCACACGGCCACAGAAGCUCGUUUCACUUCCUCUUUUAGUUCCUGUGAUAUUUGAGGCCACAUGUGCGAACUGUGACGAGGGCUUUAAUCUAAACGUUCUGACUGCAUGUGUGACGAUUAUCACACUAAUUUCACACGCGUGUUCUUUAAACUGCAUUCAGUGAUGUUUGAUUUACUGUUUUGUGGGCGUCUUCGUUUUCACCUCCUAAAUAAACGGCGCUCGGUCCCUGUGCAUGCUGCAGGCCGGGACCACUUCAGUAUAUGUCAGAGAACAUGACGCAUGCUAAUCUGCAGGCAGUUCAUAGAUGCAGUGACAGGUGUCUACAGGUGUGCGGAGACAGGUAGAUUUACCUGCUGCAUCGGGUUGAUGCUGAUAUUUCAUCACGGCCUCCGGAGUGAGCUUUAUGUCUCAAUCUGCUCCAACAAUGAAAUCAAAUAAAGUGCAACAGCUGAGCGAGCUUUCAUUCAGCAAUAAAGCUACACAACAUGGGGCGCUCAUUUACAAACACCAGUCGAACUGAAGUUUCACACUUUGUUUGGUAGAAAAAAAUCAAAUUGUUGCUUAAAUUUUCACAAAAUGUCAGAAUCUGCACGUCAUGAACAAAAAUUUAAAGCUAAUUUUUCAGGAUUUGUUGGGUUCAUCCUCUGGGGGCCGCGAUGUCAUUUGUAUUUCACCUCUUUCCCCUCCUCGCCGUGUUUGGUCUCAUUCUCUUCAGCUCAGCCUCACGUGUCUGAAUUUACACUGAUUGUUUCACGGACAUGUUGUAGAAACACAACUGAUCUGAAAUCACACAAAAACAUAAAAUCCUCGUAGUAGUUAUAUUUGUUUACUGUUAAAAGCACAAACAUGUUUAGUGAAUGAUUUUCAAAACUUGAAAUGCAAAUAUAAACUGAAAACCUAAGCACAAAGUUUGUAAACAAUAAAGUCAUAAACAAAUAUUUAUCUAAAAACACAGCCAAUGGAUCUGGUGGGUUUAUUGUGCAACAUUUAAAAAUACUACUAUAACUAAAACGAGAGAACAAUCGGGUGUCACACAAAUUAUUUGUGCCAGUAAAACAAUAAAUUGUUGCCACACCUGCAGCCUGACAGCAGGUGCAUCCCUGCUCCUGUUUUCACCUGGAGACAGUGUUUACACUGCAGUCUGUGACAGUCAGUAGUGCCCUCACUGACACACAACACACUAAGCGUGGCUCUCACUGCCGUCACUUCUAAAACUUUCCCCUCUUCCUAAACAACCAAUCCUACUGUUGCCACAUUUUACAUGGUACAUUUUUCCACCAAUAGGAGAGAGGUGGCUUUUUUUCUUUUUUUACUGUUUCCGUGCUGUCC